GUGCAGCAGUCGAGAAUUUUUCUCAAUGGGGGCAACCCUGAAGGAGCGACGCCGCGUGGAGGAUGAAGGCUUUCGGGUUGUAAACUCCUGUCAUUUGAGAACAAGUGUAGCCAAGUAACUACUGGCUACUUGAUAGUAUCAGAAGAGGAAGGGACGGCUAACUCUGUGCCAGCAGCCGCGGUAAUACAGAGGUCCCAAGCGUUGUUCGGAUUCAUUGGGCGUAAAGGGUGCGUAGGUGGCGCCGUAAGUGGGGUGUGAAAUUUCGGAGCUUAACUCCGAAACUGCAUUCCAUACUGCGGUGCUUGAGGACUGGAGAGGAGACUGGAAUUCAUGGUGUAGCAGUGAAAUGCGUAGAGAUCAUGAGGAAGACCAGUGGCGAAGGCGGGUCUCUGGACAGUUCCUGACACUGAGGCACGAAGGCCAGGGGAGCGAACGGGAUUAGAUACCCCUGUAGU
rnacentral:rRNA from 1 species